rnacentral:rRNA from 1 species
GACGAACGCUGGCGGCGCGCCUAACACAUGCAAGUCGAACGAGCGAGAGAGAGCUUGCUUUCUUGAGCGAGUGGCGAACGGGUGAGUAACGCGUGAGGAACCUGCCUCAAAGAGGGGGACAACAGUUGGAAACGACUGCUAAUACCGCAUAAGCCCACGGUGCCGCAUGGCAGAGAGGGAAAAGGAGCAAUCCGCGUUGAGAUGGCCUCGCGUCCGAUUGGGUAGUUGGUGAGGUAACGGCCCACCAAGGCGACGAGCGGUAGCCGGACGGAGAGGCUGAACCGCCACAUUGGGACUGCGACACGGCCCCGACUCCUACGGGACGCAGCAGUGGGGAAUAUUGCACGAUGGGGGCAAACCUGAUGCAGCGGCGCCGCGUGGAGGAAGAAGGUCUUCGGAUUGUAAACUCCUGUUGUUGGGGAAGAUAAUGACGGUACCCAACAAGGAAGUGACGGCUAACUACGUG